UACGUAGGGUGCGAGCGUUAAUCGGAAUUACUGGGCGUAAAGCGUGCGCAGGCGGUCUGUUAAGACCGAUGUGAAAUCCCCGGGCUUAACCUGGGAACUGCAUUGGUGACUGGCAGGCUUUGAGUGUGGCAGAGGGAGGUAGAAUUCCACGUGUAGCAGUGAAAUGCGUAGAGAUGUGGAGGAAUACCGAUGGCGAAGGCAGCCUCCUGGGCCAACACUGACGCUGAUGCGCGACAGCGUGGGGAGCAAACAGG
rnacentral:rRNA from 1 species